GAGUUUGAUUCUGGCUCAGGAUGAACGCACAAGACGUGCCUAACACAUGCAAAUCGAAUGAAAAUAAUUAAUUAUUGUUUUCAUGGUGAACGGGUGAGUAACACAUAAGAAUCAGCUUUUAGAUAAGGCAUAAAAGAGUAAUAUCUUGGUAAUUCCUUAUAUGCGCAGCAGUGCUUAAAAAGGGGAGUCCCGUCUAAAAACGAGCUUAUGCCUGAUUAGCUAGUUGGCGAGUUAAAAGCUCACCAAGGCGAAGAUCAGUAGCUGGCCUGAGAGGGCGGCCAGCCACAUUGGGACUGAGACACGGCCCAAACUCCUACGGGAGGCAGCAGUGGGGAAUCUUCUGCAAUGGGCGCAAGCCUGACAGAGCGGCGUCGUGUGAAGGAAGAAGGCCUGAAAUAGGUUGUAAACUUCUUUUACUGAGUAAUGAAUAAUGACAACGCAGUAAAAAAGUAUCGGCUAACUCCGUGCCAGCAGCCGCGGUAAUACGGGGGAUGCAAGCGUUAUCCGGAAUAACUGGGCGUAAAGCGUCUGUAGGUGGUUUAGUGUGUUCUUAGUUAAAUUCUGAAGCCUAACUUCAUGAAAAGUAAGAAAACUAUUAGACUUGAGUACGAUAGGGGUAAGAGGAAUUCUUCGAGAAGUAGUGAAAUGUGAAGAUACGAAGGAGAAGAUCAUAAGCGAAGGCUUCUUACUGGGUCGUAACUGACACUGAGAGACGAAAGCUAGGGGAGCGAAUGGGAUUAGAUACCCCAGUAGUCCUAGCUGUAAACGAUGGAUAUUCGGUGCCGGAAAUUUUAUUAGAACAUUUCGGUACCCUAGCUAACGCGUUAAAUAUCCCGCCUGAGGAGUACGCUCGCAAGGGUGAAACUCAAAGGAAUUGACGGGGGCUCGCACAAGCGGUGGAGCAUGUGGUUUAAUUCGAUGCAAAGCGAAGAACCUUACCAGGGCUUGACAGUAUGUAU
rnacentral:rRNA from 1 species